GCAAUGGAUCGAUGAUUCCAACAGUGCGAAUGGAUUUGCCGGCCAGCGCAGUUUCAGUAUAAAUAAGCCGAAACGUUUUGAAAUUUUUAUUCGAACAAAAGCGAUUUUAUUCAGUGAAAAUGCCGUCUCCUUGUUCUACCUGUGACGAUUCCUGCAAAGAUUCCCAAUCCUGCGGAACCGAUUGCAAAUGUGGCCCGAAUUGCAAAUGUUCUGAAAAAACGGAAAGUUGCCCGUGUCCAUCUGGGGCCGACCAUGAAACUUGCGACAAAAAGUGAAGCUAAAAUAUUUACAGUUCAAAAUGCUUGGCGAAGGAUUGUCAGUUAGUUUAUUCUGUAUUUAAACAAACAUGUAUGUUAAAGGAA